rnacentral:rRNA from 1 species
UACGUAGGGAGCGAGCGUUGUCCGGAUUUACUGGGCGUAAAGAGCGCGCAGGCGGUCGUUCAAGUCGCGUGUGAAAGCCCCCGGCUCAACUGGGGAGGGUCACGCGAUACUGAUCGACUCGAAGGCAGGAGAGGGUAGUGGAAUUCCCGGUGUAGUGGUGAAAUGCGUAGAUAUCGGGAGGAACACCAGUGGCGAAGGCGACUACCUGGCCUGUUCUUGACGCUGAGGCGCGAAAGCUAGGGGAGCAAACGGG